rnacentral:tRNA from 1 species
GCGGAAGUAACUCAAUAGGUAGAGUAUAAUCUUGCCAAGAUUAAGGUUGCGAGUUCAAAUCUCGUCUUCCGCU